AGUGAACGCUGGCGGUAGGCCUAACACAUGCAAGUCGAACGGCAGCACAGUAAGAGCUUGCUCUUACGGGUGGCGAGUGGCGGACGGGUGAGGAAUACAUCGGAAUCUACUUUUUCGUGGGGGAUAACGUAGGGAAACUUACGCUAAUACCGCAUACGACCUACGGGUGAAAGCAGGGGAUCUUCGGACCUUGCGCGAUUGAAUGAGCCGAUGUCGGAUUAGCUAGUUGGCGGGGUAAAGGCCCACCAAGGCGACGAUCCGUAGCUGGUCUGAGAGGAUGAUCAGCAACACUGGAACUGAGACACGGUCCAGCCUCCUCCGGGAGGCAGCAGUGGGGAAUAUUGGACAAUGGGCGCAAGCCUGCUCCAGCCAUACCGCGUGGGUGAAGAAGGCCUUCGGGUUGUAAAGCCCUUUUGUUGGGAAAGAAAACCAGCAGGUUAAUACCCUCAUGUUCUGACGGUACCCAAAGAAUAAGCACCGGCUAACUUCGUG
rnacentral:rRNA from 1 species